rnacentral:lncRNA from 1 species
AUGAAUACAGCACUUAACAUUCAUUACGUGGUGAAGAUAAGAAAGUUGAAAACAGCUCAGAGGACUGCAGAAUGAUUGCCUUAUAAUGCCCACAGCUACGUCACCGGAAUAAAAUGGGUGGUGAUGUUCAGCUAUUGCCCCUGAUCAUCAGAAAAGAAUGGUGCCAUUGGAAAUAUCUGCACCAGAAAAAAAUCUUAUCAAAUUAAGGGACUACUUUGAAGAAAAAAUCAUCAACAACAACAAGACAAGAAUGUAUAUUAGGGAAAAAAAAAGCAAACAUGUUAAACUGUGUGUCAGUGGAUUUGCUAAUGUGGGUG